rnacentral:misc_RNA from 1 species
UACGUAUCGAAACUAUAUAGUCAUGACAGAUAAUGAUGUGGAUGUUUUGGGAAGAUAAAGCUCUUUAGGUUCCACCACCAAAGGAGCUAGCUAUCAGAUUGUUUUUCGUGGGGUGUUAAAAAAUCGUGCGUGUUUCAGUUUGGUUUUUAAUCGAAAGGCUUACGGUGCCUGACUUUUGUACCUCUGUACUCGCCACAGAUGUUGUAGUAUUGACUUG